UAAGUGCGGAAUUACCCAAAAUAUGCCGUUACUUUUCAGAGAAUAUUUACAAAUGUAGACAAAGGCAUGUGAUCAAUUAGUUGACUUUGUGAAGUAAAUGAGUAUUGAUCGCCGUAAUAUUGCUCUGAAAUUCAAGUAUUUCUUUUGAUUAUUUAAUUAAUAGUUGUGGAAUCAUUAGAUUCUUGUUUUUAGUAAAAUAUGAAAAAACUAAGUGCAACAAAAAUGGAUGAAAUCAAAAGGCUUAUUCAUUUAAACACAACGCAUAGAGAAAUUGCAAGACUCGUUGGUGUUUCUGUAGGCGUGAUUUCAAAAAUAAGACAAUCAAUGAGCCCUUCAUGUGUAAAAAACCCUCCCGGACGAAAGCCAAUUUUGAAUGCCACCCUGGAAAGGCGCAUUGUUAGGCAGAUAAAGUUUGGUGUGCAUGAGAAUGCGGGCCAAAUCAGACGUGAUCUCUUCCAUAGUGAUGGAGUAAAUGUAACAAGUGAAGCUAUAAGGAAGAAAUUGCGGAAAAAUGGAUUCCACGGACGUGUCAAAAUAAAAAAACCACUCUUGACAAAACGACACCGUAAAUUGAGACUCCAAUUUGCAAAAAAAUAUAAAACCUACACCCAAAAUGACUGGAUGCGAGUCAUAUGGUCCGACGAGACAAAAAUAAACCGUCUGGGAAAAGAUGGGCGUCAAUGGAUUUGGAGGAACCCCGAGACUACUAGCCGUAUUGUUCAACCAACGGUCAAGUUUGGAGGCGGUAAUGUAAUGAUGUGGGGGUGU